UGGAGAGAACAAAUCGAAGAGCUAGAUCUGAAGUUCAGAAAGUUUAAUAGAAGAGAUGCAGACAGUAAUGCCUUAAAAGACUGGAUGCCGGAAAACAUGGAAUUCUUUUCCUCUAAUGACUAAUUUAAAAUACAAAAUGAGCUACUUCUUUCUUCAGGGAAACAUUAUAAACUCGGUUAAAACCAAUGGCUCAGAACAAGGCAGAAGAAAGGGAAACUGUGGACUAUUUCUAUCUGUGGCAUUUAAAACAAGGGCAGGAUGUUGCUACCUGGCUGAUAGCUGACCAACUGUAUAAAACCAGAAAAGAAGGACAACACACACACAUUAUUUAAUGAUGCUGAAGGACUAUAAAGGCAGUGAAAAGCUUGAGAAGGUCAAGAUCCUUGGCAGAAGGAAAGUUAAUUGAGGGGCUGGAGAGAAAGUAGCUGCUGAGAUGCAGAGAAAUUGAGCUCAAC
ensembl:lncRNA